rnacentral:lncRNA from 1 species
UUAGAUUGGCCGGUCAACCCAUUGUUUUUUUAUUAAAUUUAGGGUGCUACAACUAGCUUUAGAGCUAUGAGAGAUCUAGGAAAUAAAGGCUAGCAGCAUAAUACACCUCUUCCAUGGUUCCACCACACACAUAUGCCGUCUAGACUACUAAUUAUUGGAGACACCAUGCACUUGGUUCCUCCCCUCUUUAAAGGCUGCACAUGGAAAUUACAAGUCAUAAUAUAUUACAAGUUUAUAAAUUACUACCUCUGCCACAAAACAAAAUAAACGCACAUAUUCUAGUUUCCCGUGGAGCUAAAUAUUUUAAAUUUGACUAAUACAUGAAAAACAUACUAAUAUUUAUGAUUUAUAAUAAGUAGUAUCAUUUGAUUAAUAUAGAAUAUACUUUCAUAAUAAAAUUGUUUGGAGAUACAAAUUUGAUACUAUUUCCUAUAUUUCUAGAUGAAUUUCUUUUAAAAAGAUAACUUCUCGAGAAUGUUUAUUUUCAGACGAAGUGAGUACGGAGUCUCUUUUCAAAAGAAAAGUAUUGUGUAGAAAAAGCAUGCAUGGAUGCCCCUGAAAGAGAAAAGUUAUACUGCUUAUACCUGGAAUACAGAAGCUUGUGUAGGGAACAAAACAUCUGGCACGCCUGUUGUCAGCUACCUUCCUCACCCGGCCAGACACUACAUCAACAAUGAACGCUCCAGCAUUUACCCGGACAAAGAAGGCGCCAAGGCCAUGCACAAAGGAAACCAUAUAGAUCCAGCCGGUAUUAGGCCUUGUUUAGUUUGCAAAUUUUUUAGUUUUUGGCUACUGUAGCACUUUCGUUUUUAUUUGACAAACAUUGUCCAAUCAUAAAGUAACUAGGCUCAAAAGAUUCAUCUCACAAAUUAUAGGUAAACUGUGUAAUUAGUUUUUAUUUUCGUCUAUAUUUAAUGCUCCAUGCAUACGACCAAAGAUUCGAUGUGACGGAGAAUCUUGAAAAUUUUUGCAAACUAAACAAGGCCUUAAUAGCACGGACAGGGAGCAAUGUCUCGAGCUCAACGAUUCCACUUGGUGCCCACCCCAAAACUCCAUCCGACGACCACAGGUGAAGCCUUGAGUUCUCAAUCCUGGCGAUUCCCAAUCCAUCAUCAUCUUCUAUUCUUCUCUAGUCGCGAGCAGAAUCCGACACCUUCUGUCGGCGCAAUCGGGAGGUAGAUCGACGAAGCCGAUCUCCUGCGCUCCCAAAUCGUACUUGAGUAUUCCAAUUCUCAUCUUCGUAUAAACACUGAAGUAUAGGGUACUAGUACCCUAGCCAUAAGAGCGCCAACACGCAUGCAGUCAAAGUCGUACUAGUACAGUGCUCCAUUGAUUCAAUCAAGACAAGCGGUUGAGAUGACACGUACGAUUGGACAGGUAUAUCGGCCGCCAAAUCAUACGCUGACAUAAUAUAUGAUGUGAGAGGCGGUAUGGUUCUUCGUCGGGCCUUUUCAUCAUCGCAUAAUAUAUGCUUAGGCCUUGUUUAGUUCAACCCAAAAACUAAAAAGUUUUCAAGAUUUUCUAUCACAUCGGAUCUUGCGGUACAUGUAUGAAGCAUUAAAUAUAGAUAAAAACAAAAACUAAUUACACAGUUUACCUGUAAAUCACGAGACAAAUCUUUUGACUCUAGUUAGUUCAUGAUUGGACAAUAUUUGCCACAAACAAACGAAAGUGCUAUAGUAGCGAAAUCCAAAAACUUUUCGCAUUUUCCUUAAAAAAAACUUUUCGCAUCUAAACAAGGCCUUAAUUGAGUGAGACAAGGACAUAUACAUCCAGACACAAGAUAGGAAGCUAGACCUACAACUAGCUAGCUGAGGUCCUGGCCUAGGGAUACGACCGUUUUUUUUUUUUGUUUUGUGAUUUUUUUUUCAAAAUAUUCUUACAAUUACAUAUCUGUUAGUUUUAUUUCAAAAUCUGAACCCAGAGCUCGACGCCAUUGCUACUGGUGCUCAAGAGUACUCUAGAUAGAUUAGAGGCACGCAGGUUUAUAGCGUAAUUUUAACGGCACUAUCAGUUUUAAGCGUACGCAUAUAAAGCCCCUGUAGAACAAACGACGCCCAUUGAGUAUCAUCUAACCAUACUCAAUACACGCUGGGACGACGGAUCUAGAACUAGCUAGGAAGCUUUGAUGUUAGUGGCAUUGUUAUGACGGUUAAAUGUGUCAUUGCUUCUUAUGUGCACAGUAAUAUUUUCCACUGAGUUUGCAAAAGUUAUUGUAACAUUGUGAAGCUCCUGCUCUUGUAUCCAUCAGAAAUUUUUGUACCUACAAAGAAAUCCAGGCCUAUGAGCGCAUGCAAUUUUGCGUUUAUACUAAUGCCCAUACGGGUAGCGGGGACCUACAAGUUCUCUUUGCCCACAAGAAGAAAUGCAAUACAUGUAUUAAACUGUGACGACUAUACGAGUGAAAAUAAUAUAACACCAAAUAUAUAAUAACAAAAUGUAAUAGAAAGACGAUAUAUAUGUUAGCCCUUCUUUUACGGCACUGGGUGUAUCGGUUAGACAAUAUUUUAGAGUAUAUAUAUUAGGUUGGAAGAUGCUGGCUUUAAAUUAUAGUUGCAUAUCUAGUACAUACAUACCCAUACCCAUAUGGGUCUAGGUAACCCAUGAACCCAAUAAAUAUGAAGCUUUGUCCAUUAAUAUAUUCAUUAUGUAAAUUAGCCGCACUUAUACCCUAAUAAUAGAGUAAAAGACCAUCAAAUUUCAGGAUUUCAGGUUAAGGAUAGACAUCGGCAUCCCUAAUCCUUAACUCCGACAUUUUCAAUAUGCGGGUGUGUGAUUUGCUAGCGAUCAUAAUCCCACACCAACCGCACUCAAUGCGCGAACAUCAAUGUCGUGCCACUGGUGAACCCUAGGUGGCUGUCAAGGAAACGCGCCUGAUCAUCAACAGUGUAAUAGAAAAAAAUAGAUAGAGAGAAAGUAACACAUGUAUUAAACUGUAACUAUAUAAAAAAAAUAGGAUAAUAGAACAACAAUAGAAAAAUUAUAUAUAUGUUGCCCCUUUUAUAGCACUAUAGGUGUGCUGGUUGGACCAUGUUUUGCAAUAUAUUAUGUCAAAAUAUGGUUUUAAAUUAUAGUUGCAUAUUGGGUACAUAUAUAACCAUGGAUUUAUAAGUUCAAGUAGAGCAUAACCAUACUCAGUACCAUGAACUUUUAUCCAUUAUAAUAUACUAAUGGUUAUGUAAAUUACUCCACACCCAUAUGCUGGUAAUACUCCCGUAGACAUCAGUAAUAUACUCCCUCUGUUCAAGCUUCAAUUUCUAGAGUUAUCUUAAGUCAAAAAUUUUAAACUUUGACUGAUUUUCUAAAAAAAUGAUAAAUUUAUAGUACCAAAUUAGUACUAUUAGAUUUAUUAUAAAAUAUAUUUUUAUAAGAUAUUUUAUACAGAUUCUAGAAAUUGAAGCUUUUAAUGACAGAUGUGUAAAAAAACUCAGGUAUAUGCAUUGGCAUCCUACCUCCGACAUGGUCGGUGUGUGCGGGUAGGCGAUUUGCCGGCGAUCCCAAUCAUACACCAGCCGCACUUAAUUUGCGGACAGCAAUGCGGCGCCACUGGGACACUGAUGAAGCCCCGGCAGUCGUGGUCGAGGAUCACGCGCCCGCUACGAUUUCGCCGUCGUCCACCUCGGCCGCGGCGUGGCGGGGGCGCUCUCCGUCCAUCCACACCGGCAGCCUCGCUUUCGCACGUUAAU